rnacentral:rRNA from 1 species
GUGAGGAAUUUUCCGCAAUGGACGAAAGUCUGACGGAGCAACGCCGCGUGAGUGAUGAAGGUCUUCGGAUUGUAAAGCUCUGUUAAUCGGGACGAAAGAGCCUAGUGUGAAUAAUGCUAGGAAGUGACGGUACCGGAAUAGAAAGCCACGGCUAACUACGUGCCAGCAGCCGCGGUAAUACGUAGGUGGCAAGCGUUGUCCGGAAUUAUUGGGCGUAAAGCGCGCGCAGGCGGAUCUGCCAGUCUGUCUUAAAAGUUCGGGGCUUAACCCCGUGAUGGGAUGGAAACUACAGAUCUAGAGUAUCGGAGAGGAAAGUGGAAUUCCUAGUGUAGCGGUGAAAUGCGUAGAUAUUAGGAAGAACACCAGUGGCGAAGGCGACUUUCUGGACGAAAACUGACGCUGAGGCGCGAAAGCCAGGGGAGCGAACGGGAUUAGAAACCCUUGUAGUCC